GAGGAGCUUGCUCUUCUUGGAUGAGUUGCGAACGGGUGAGUAACGCGUAGGUAACCUGCCUGGUAGCGGGGGAUAACUAUUGGAAACGAUAGCUAAUACCGCAUAAAAUUGAUUAUUGCAUGAUAGUCAAUCGAAAGGUGCAACUGCACCACUACCAGAUGGACCUGCGUUGUAUUAGCUAGUUGGUGGGGUAACGGCUCACCAAGGCGACGAUACAUAGCCGACCUGAGAGGGUGAUCGGCCACACUGGGACUGAGACACGGCCCAGACUCCUACGGGAGGCAGCAGUAGGGAAUCUUCGGCAAUGGACGGAAGUCUGACCGAGCAACGCCGCGUGAGUGAAGAAGGUUUUCGGAUCGUAAAGCUCUGUUGUAAGAGAAGAACGAGUGUGAGAGUGGAAAGUUCACACUGUGAC
rnacentral:rRNA from 1 species